rnacentral:rRNA from 1 species
CCAAAAAGCCGUCCCAGUUCGGAUCGCAGGCUGCAACCCGCCUGCGUGAAGUCGGAAUCGCUAGUAAUCGCGGAUCAGCAUGCCGCGGUGAAUACGUUCCCGGGCCUUGUACACACCGCCCGUCACACCAUGAGAGUCGGGAACACCCGAAGCCCGUAGCCUAACAGCAAUGAGGGCGCGGUCGAAGGUGGGUUCGAUAAUUGGGUGAAGUCGUAACAAGGUAUC